rnacentral:lncRNA from 12 species
AUGCUGCUGUCAGCCAGCAAGAAAGUUGCAAAGGCUGUUCUGAAGCUGAAGGCCAGGAAGGUGAGGGGAGGGCAGGAGGGGGAGGGCAGGGAGGGGAAGGGUAGGGAAGGGAUGGGGAAGGUCAGGGAGGGCAAGGAGGGGAUGAAGAGGGCAGGGGCUGGGGAGGGAGGGCUGGAGGGGGAGAGGAUGCAGGCCCGGCUGCCAGUCUGGGAGGGGCCCGGAGGCGGGCAGGACAGGAGGCCAGACCAGACUGCCCAGGGAGACAGCCAUCAAGGCAGGCUGUGUAUGGGCUCGUGGCACAUAGAGACCUUCCCUGGAGAGCCGUUUUUGCACAAGGGGGUCAUUUGUGUCUCAGCUCAGUGGGGUCAGCAGGAUCCAGAGAAACAGUCCGUGCUGGUCCUCAGGAGGCGGCAAGGGGGCAUAUAUGAACUAAGGGCUAAACUGGUCCCAGUGUUUUAUGCAACUUUAGCUCCCAGGACACUCGGCCUUCUCACUGCAAAAUGGGGAGAACCUGUUCCUGCCCCCCCGGGGCUACAUGAAGACCAAGUGAACCAGCACGGGCCCAGGAAACUGUUCUGGAAGCUGGCAGGUGGAGGAGGCCCCGCCUGGGCCCUGCCGCCCGUGCUGCCCAGGCCCCCGCACCUCCUCCCGGGCGUCCCCAGCCCGCACAGCCUGUGCCCACUCGCACUGGGCACCGAGUCAGAGCCUGAGUCAUGGGCUGUUUCCACCAGCGAGGAAGCUCUCCUUGGCACACGCCAUCCAGCUACUCAGCAGGCGACCCUGCGUGGGGGCGGCAUCUGCCACCAAGGGACCCGUGUUACCGUGAAGCCUGGUGAUCCGGGUAGGAAAGCUCCAACUGCUGCCGGGAGAGCUACAAGUCCCAGGGGGCUGUGCACAUCCCCGGGCUCAGAGGUGCGUCUCAGUGAUCUCUUUCAGGGAUCAGGGACGUGGCAAGGUGGCCAGGUCCGCCUCCCGGGCUCUGCGCACAGUCGGGAGCCCUAG